rfam:Triticum aestivum genome assembly, contig: Triticum_aestivum_CS42_TGACv1_scaffold_432933_5DL
GAUCCUCAGGGGACAUCUGAUAAAACUGGAAUGAUAUAAGAUUAGCAUGUCCCCUAUGCAAGGAUGACACGCACAAAUAUUUU